UACGAAGGGUGCAAGCGUUACUCGGAAUUACUGGGCGUAAAGCGUGCGUAGGUGGUUUGUUAAGUCUGUUGUGAAAGCCCCGGGCUCAACCUGGGAAUGGCAAUGGAUACUGGCAGGCUAGAGUGCGGUAGAGGGUAGUGGAAUUCCCGGUGUAGCGGUGAAAUGCGUAGAGAUCCGGAGGAACACCAGUGGCGAAGGCGGCUCGCUGGGCUCAACCUGACGCUGAGGCGCGACAGCGUGGGAGCAAACAGG
rnacentral:rRNA from 1 species